CCAAAUAGACUUAGUGAGGUGUAU
rnacentral:siRNA from 1 species